UUGUAACACGAGAGAGAAUAAAAAGUAGAAACCAGCCAAGGACGUCUGUUAUGUGACUGAGACAAGAGACGGUCAAGGAAUAGACCCACGCUUUCUGCUGACCAGUUGUCGGACAAACGACUGUCCUAGAGAUUGGUGCAGAAGCUGAAAGUCCUUGGCGCAGUCCCGGCCGGUCGACAUAGACAGUCCCUCCCACUUCCACCAUGAGCGUCUUUCGUCACAGCUCCAUGGCCCUUAGGCGGAUGGCCAGCAAGAACAAAUCAAACAAGCGACCCUACACACAGCUGACACAGCCUGCCAUGAAAGUCUCACAGACACACAGCAAUGCACAGACAAAGAGUGGCUCGGACGGCUGGAUUGUCCCGGCUGCCAUUGCUAUCCUCGGUCUGGGCUUCUCCACCUUCAGCACACACCAGCUCAUGACUGCCAGCUCUAACGAAUAUGCUCUGCCCAACAAGAAGUAGGACCAUGCAUCUCACUGUGUGCCCAAUUUGGUCAACUGAAUGGAAGUGUAUGGAUCUGGUGUCUGGUUAAAUUGCUGAAAUGAGGGUACCACUUUUCCGGAUGUUUCGUGAUUUCUGUGAGCCUAACUGAUGUCGAAAAGUUUUGUAGUUGUUUCUUGUUCCGUGUUGUUGUCUUGUGAUUUUAUGUUGUGAUUUCGGAGACAUCUGUCGAGUCUUUCUGGGAGCCAUAUGGUUCUGUGGUUCUUCUCCAGGAGUCUUGAAAGAUCAGGAGGGUGUGGCGCCCUUGAUAUGUUCAGUGCUAUGCAGGUGUAAAUUGUAUUUUGAUCAGCAGUGUGUGUGUGUGUGUGUGUGUGUGUUUGUUGGGGGGUAGGGGGUGUGAGGUUGGCGGCAGUAGAUAUGUGAAACAUUGCUGCUACUGGUGCUUUUUGCAAUUUAGAGAGUGCUACUUGAAGGAGAUUGGGUGGAUGGCAGUGUGUUAUGUUGUAAAAAUGAGUGGAAGAACUUCAGUUUUGGUUUAUAUUUCUUUUUUUGUAUAGAUGUUUUGAGGUGUAUAUAUAAAUGUAGAUGUAGGGUAUAUCUUUAGAAAUUUUAGAGUAGUGAAAAGUUUGAAAAUAUUAAAAAAAUAAGUGGAAUAGAGAACUUGAUCAGUCCUGAGUGUGAAUUUACCCGAAAGUAGCGACAGUAAUUUUAUUGUAACUUUUAGAUUCGGUUUUCAAACAUUCUGUUUCAUUGUGGGUUUUUUUAGCCAACCAAAAUGAUCUCAAAGCUUGCCAGGAUGAUGAGUUCUUGUAGUCUACUUAUGUUUGUGUGCAUCUGUACAGUGUGUAAAUCAAAUUUUUCGCCUAUGGCAGAACUGUAAAUACUGUGCCAAACACGUCAAUGCAAGUAACUUAUGCUCUGGUUUUGAUAUAUAUGACUUGAGAAUUUUAUUCCUGGACUGUUGUUCAAUAAAACAGCUCUGCUAAUUUUCA